rnacentral:snoRNA from 1 species
AUUUGAUGACGAGGGCAUUGAAUGCACAAUAGCUCAGAUCUUUCCCAAUACUCAGCGAGUGUUUCUCCAUGAGAUUGUCGAAUCCCAUAUAUUUCUUUUCUUAUGUU